rnacentral:rRNA from 1 species
AGCAAUUGUACAGCGAAACUGCGAAUGGCUCAUUAAAUCAGUUAUCGUUUAUUUGAUAGUACCUUUCCUACUUGGAUAACCGUGGUAAUUCUAGAGCUAAUACAUGCUAAAAAUCCCGACUUCGGAAGGGAUGCAUUUAUCAGAUACAGAACCAAUGCCCUCCGGGGCUCACUGGUGAAUCAUGAUAACUCCGCGGAUCGCACGGCCUUGCGCUGGCGAUGGUUCAUUCAAAUUUCUGCCCUAUCAACUUUCGACGGCUGGGUCUUGGCCAGCCGUGGUGACAACGGGUAACGGAGGGUUAGGGCUCGACCCCGGAGAAGGAGCCUGAGAAACGGCUACUACAUCCAAGGAAGGCAGCAGGCGCGCAAAUUACCCAAUCCCGACACGGGGAGGUAGUGACAAUAAAUACUGAUCCAGGGCUCUUUUGGGUCUUGGAAUUGGAAUGAGUACAAUUUAAAUCCCUUAACGAGGAACAAUUGGAGGGCAAGUCUGGUGCCAGCAGCCGCGGUAAUUCCAGCUCCAAUAGCGUAUAUUAAAGUUGUUGAGGUUAAAAAGCUCGUAGUUGAACCUUGGGCCUGGCUGGCCGGUCCGCCUCACCGCGUGCACUGGUCCGGCCGGGCCUUUCCCUCUGGGGAACCUCAUGCCCUUCACUGGGUGUGCUGGGGAACCAGGACUUUUACUCUGAACAAAUCAGAUCGCUCAAAGAAGGCUCUCGCUCGAAUGCAUUAGCAUGGAAUAAUGGAAUAGGACGCGCGGUCCUAUUUUGUUGGUUUCUAGGACCGCCGUAAUGAUUAAUAGGGACAGUCGGGGGCAUCCGUAUUCAGUUGUCAGAGGUGAAAUUCUUGGAUCUACUGAAGACGAACUACUGCGAAAGCAUUUGCCAAGGAUGUUUUCAUUAAUCAGGAACGAAAGUUAGGGGAUCGAAGACGAUCAGAUACCGUCGUAGUCUUAACCAUAAACUAUGCCGAUUAGGGAUCGGACGAUGCUAUUUUUUGGCUCGUUCGGCACCUUACGACAAAUCAAAAUGU